CACACACAUCCCGAAAAGAUAUUCCACACACGAAUGAUACGGAAAGGACUUCUGCAUGGGGGUGCUCGCUCGUCCUUUUUCUCCGCUUGUAUGUGUGUUUGCUCUCCUCCGGCGACGAUGUUUAUCGUCGUCCUUUCCAGGCAUGCACACCAUCAGAAAAUUAUCGAUUUUUGUUUUGAUGAUCCUUCUCUCCUCAGCGCAAAUAAAGUCAGAGCUUGAUAGAACAGAACCAGCAGCUUGUCUCAUCACAAACGUUCUGCGGAUUGGAUGACGGAUCGCGUCCGUUCUUAUUUCGUGCUGUCGUCGUCGUCGGGAGUGGCCAAAAUCUACCACGGAUAUCAAUCCGGUUCUAUAAUCUGGCUGUAAUCGAUUGUGCAAUUGAGGCUUUUGAUAAGCCACGGUUUUUGGCUUUUUUGGUGAAGUGUUCAGCGUGAAGCGAAACGUGUUGGAAGCGGAAAAUCUUCGGAAGGCUGUCGUGAAAGAACCGGAAAAUUGAAACAAUUUGUGCUUGUAGGACACAUCUCAUCAACAACCAUGGGCAACAUACACACCGUUGGACCGAACGAGGCUCUUAUCGUAUCAGGUUCGUCAUUGAGGCCAACAAAAUCAUACCAUUUGUCAACUUAUUGCUAGAAAUUAUGAUGCUCAUGGACUGGGGUUCCGAUGUGAGGGACCAUGGACCAUGGCCAUCAUGAACACUAUCGGAUAAACAAGAUAUUGACCUUUUCCAAAGCGAGGCAGACAACUUAAUUUGACUUGCUAAGGGUUGGUCCUAAACGAUUCAUGUCGGAUGCAGGGUCUUCCAUCAAGCGACCAGAAAUUUACAUUUUUAUUUAUUUCGGAUUCAAAAUCUAGAUCUAUUCUGUAUGGUUUUUAAAUGUUGAUGUCGCAAAACUGAAAAAAAAAUCACUUGCAAUAAAACUUCACCUCUGAAGCACAACAUAAA